UACGGAGGGGGCGAGCGUUGUCCGAAGUUACUGGGCGUAAAGCGCGCGUAGGCGGGUUGCUAAGUCCGCUGUGAAAGCCCGAGGCUUAACCUCGGAGGGUCGGUGGAUACUGGCAGUCUUGAAGGUGGUAGAGGGAAGUGGAAUUACCGGUGUAGCGGUGAAAUGCGUAGAUAUCAGGAGGAACACCGGCGGUGUAGACGGCUUUCUGGACCGUAGCUGACGCUGAGACACGAAAGCGUGGGUAGCAAACAGG
rnacentral:rRNA from 1 species